UUGAUCUUUUGGACAAGCUUUGGCUAGGCUUCAACCGUCGCCGUUUUCUGUAUCAAAAUUUUAUCCAAAUUAUAGAAAACAACGAACUGGCCAUGAUAACCCGCGAAACUCUCGAAGUUAAGAAGAUAGGGCUACGAGAUCCUUGUGAAACUUUGACCAUCAAAGUGAUAGAAGUCGCUAAGGCCGUGAAAGCAACGGCUUUCCAUGGGCAAAUAGUAAAUGGGGUAUCGAGAAAAGCUAAUCAACGUGAACAAGGCGUGUCUGACGACUCAAGCAAAGGAGUCGAAAAAUAGUUUGUGACGUCCUAGUUGGCACGGUUGCCAUUACAACUAAAGGAGUUCGCCAGCUUUGAUCUCAUGUAUUGAGUCUCGGCGUUCUAUAAGUUGAUAAUCGAAAAGGAGCUUAUAAUGAAAAAUGACGUAUUCAUCCGGAUCGUAAAGGAAAAGCUGCAAUGCUUUUUGAAAUCGCUAGUCGAAGAAGAAGCCAGCAUACCGGAUCGCAAAGGUGUACGAUGGGGUAACCAAAAGGCUCAAAUUGCUAUGGAAAUAUCUUCUAGCACGACCCAUGGACUCUGUCAGAUGUUACCUCUCGCCAUCUGGCUUAUCGCCUACCACACGAAGAUCCCUCUCCAGGAGCGCGAGGAGGACGCCCUCGCUGUGCAGACGUUGCAGUUGGUACAAGGCGUUGAUUGUUUGACUUGAGCCUGAAUUGACGUUAGUCUUUGAUUUGGACCUUCACAUUGUGAAAAUGGCGAAAGGACUCCGGGAAACCUGGGUGCGUCGCCGUCCAAUUCGAAAUACUUGCGGCGAAGGUCGUUGAUGACGCUGUUCUUCGGGGAGCAAACGGACGAUUCUCGGUUCGCGUCGAUGGUUGCACCGGGGCAAGCGACUGGACUUAGAACCUCGUCACCUGUCUGAGGACUCAACUUGAACAUUUGCACCACGAAAAUGAAAAACCAUCAUCCUAGAUCCAAAUAAAUAACAAGCGUUAACCCAGCAUAACCCUACGGU